rnacentral:rRNA from 1 species
CAGAGGUCCCAAGCGUUGUUCGGAUUCACUGGGCGUAAAGGGUGCGUAGGUGGUGAGGUAAGUCGGAUGUGAAAUCUCCGAGCUCAACUCGGAAAUGGCAUUGGAAACUACCUUGCUCGAGGAUUGGAGGGGAGACUGGAAUGCUUGGUGUAGCAGUGAAAUGCGUAGAUAUCAAGCGGAACACCAGUGGCGAAGGCGAGUCUCCGGACAAUUCCUGACACUGAGGCACGAAAGCCAGGGGAGCAAACGGGAUUAGAUACCCCGGUAGUCCUGGCCGUAAACGGUGCACGUUUGCUGUAAAAGGAAUCGACCCCUUUUGUGGCGUAGCCAACGCGAUAAACGUGCCGCCUGGGAAGUACGGUCGCAAGAUUA